UACGUAGGGACCGAGCGUUGUCCGGAAUCAUUGGGCGUAAAGAGCGUGUAGGCGGCUAACUAAGUCCUGCGUGAAAUCUCGGGGCUCAACCCCGAGCGGUCGUGGGAAACUGGUUGGCUAGAGUGCGGGAGAGGAGAGUGGAAUUCCUGGUGUAGCGGUGAAAUGCGCAGAUAUCAGGAAGGACACCCGGGGCGAAGGCGGCAUCCUUGACCACGACUGACGCUGAGUGAGCGAAAGCCAGGGGAGCAAACGGG
rnacentral:rRNA from 1 species